AUACGGAGGAUCCGAGCGUUAUCCGGAUUUAUUGGGUUUAAAGGGAGCGUAGGUGGAUUGUUAAGUCAGUUGUGAAAGUUUGCGGCUCAACCGUAAAAUUGCAGUUGAAACUGGCAGUCUUGAGUACAGUAGAGGUGGGCGGAAUUCGUGGUGUAGCGGUGAAAUGCUUAGAUAUCACGAAGAACUCCGAUUGCGAAGGCAGCUCACUAGACUGUUGCUGACACUGAUGCUCGAAAGUGUGGGUAUCAAACAGGAUUAGAUACCCUGGUAGUCCACACAGUAAACGAUGAAUACUCGCUGUUUGCGAUAUACAGUAAGCGGCCAAGCGAAAGCAUUAAGUAUUCCGCCUGGGGAGUACGCCGGCAACGGUGAAACUCAAAUGAAUUGACGGGG
rnacentral:rRNA from 1 species